GCGGCACUGAUGGGAGCUUGCUCCCUGAUGCAUAGCGGCGGACGGGUGAGUAACACGUGGGCAACCUGCCUGUAAGACUGGGAUAACUCCGGGAAACCGGGGCUAAUACCGGAUAACCCGUUCCACCUCAUGGUGGAGCGGUAAAAGAUGGCCUCUGGCUAUCACUUACAGAUGGGCCCGCGGCGCAUUAGCUAGUUGGUAAGGUAACGGCUUACCAAGGCGACGAUGCGUAGCCGACCUGAGAGGGUGAUCGGCCACACUGGGACUGAGACACGGCCCAGACUCCUACGGGAGGCAGCAGUAGGGAAUCUUCCGCAAUGGACGAAAGUCUGACGGAGCAACGCCGCGUGAGUGAUGAAGGUUUUCGGAUCGUAAAGCUCUGUUGUUAGGGAAGAACAAGUGCCGUUUGAAUAAGGCGGCACCUUGACGGUACCUAACCAGAAAGCCACGGCUAACUACGUGCCAGCAGCCGCGGUAAUACGUAGGUGGCAAGCGUUGUCCGGAAUUAUUGGGCGUAAAGCGCGCGCAGGCG
rnacentral:rRNA from 2 species